rnacentral:rRNA from 1 species
GACGAACGCUGGCGGCGUGCCUAAUACAUGCAAGUAGAACGCUGAAGGAGGAGCUUGCUCUUCUGGAUGAGUUGCGAACGGGUGAGUAACGCGUAGGUAACCUGCCUGGUAGCGGGGGAUAACUAUUGGAAACGAUAGCUAAUACCGCAUAAGAGUAGAUGUUGCAUGACAUUUGCUUAAAAGGUGCAAUUGCAUCACUACCAGAUGGACCUGCGUUGUAUUAGCUAGUUGGUGGGGUAACGGCUCACCAAGGCGACGAUACAUAGCCGACCUGAGAGGGUGAUCGGCCACACUGGGACUGAGACACGGCCCAGACUCCUACGGGAGGCAGCAGUAGGGAAUCUUCGGCAAUGGACGGAAGUCUGACCGAGCAACGCCGCGUGAGUGAAGAAGGUUGUCGGAUCGUAAAGCUCUGUUGUAAGAGAAGAACGAGUGUGAGAGUGGAAAGUUCACACUGUGACGGUAGCUUACCAGAAAGGGACGGCUAACUACGUG